CAUGCAAGUCGAACGGAAAGCGCUCUUCGGAGUGACUCGAGUGGCGAACGGGUGAGUAACACGUGGGUGAUCUGCCCUGCACUUUGGGAUAAGCCUGGGAAACUGGGUCUAAUACCGGAUAGGAUCAUCGGCUUCAUGGUCGGUGGUGGAAAGCUUUUGCGGUGUGGGAUGGGCCCGCGGCCUAUCAGCUUGUUGGUGGGGUAAUGGCCUACCAAGGCGACGACGGGUAGCCGGCCUGAGAGGGUGUCCGGCCACACUGGGACUGAGAUACGGCCCAGACUCCUACGGGAGGCAGCAGUGGGGAAUAUUGCACAAUGGGCGCAAGCCUGAUGCAGCGACGCCGCGUGAGGGAUGACGGCCUUCGGGUUGUAAACCUCUUUCAACUACGACGAAGCGCAAGUGACGGUAGUAGUAGAAGAAGGACCGGCCAACUACGUGCCAGCAGCCGCGGUAAUACGUAGGGUCCGAGCGUUGUCCGGAAUUACUGGGCGUAAAGAGCUCGUAGGUGGUUUGUCGCGUUGUUCGUGAAAACUCACA
rnacentral:rRNA from 1 species